rnacentral:snRNA from 1 species
AUACUUACCUGGACGGGGUCGACGGCCGAUCAAGAAGGGCCGUGGCCUAGAUCAAUGGCUCACAUUGCACUUGGUGAGUGCGUUGGUUUACCAUCUCCCCAAGUGGGAGAGUGGACGUCAUAAUUUGUGGUAGAGGGGGUACGCGUUCGCGCGGCCCCUGC